GUCCAGGGAUGGGAAUCGAACCCACAAUGUUCCGCUUACCGGGCAGAUGCCAUAUCCACUAGGCGCAUCCCUGGA
rnacentral:tRNA from 1 species